GUUGAUUUUAUUGGUACAAUUUAUAUUUACAUAUGUAAUGUCUAUAUUAUAUGCUUUUUAUAUAUUUAUAUGUGUGUAUGUAUAUAAUUGGCACCAACGUAGCAUUGCUGUGCUUAAGUGCCUGAGAUGUAUCUCAAAUGAAUAGACCUGAGGAGAGAAGCUUGUGUCAUUAGCUCUGACCCUGCAGCACUAAUCCUGGUUUACCCCUUUAUUUCACUCACCCUGAGCACAUCAAUUUAUUUGGUGAAAGAGCUUACACUUUAACAUCUCACUGAAAUAGCUCAUUCCAAAGAAAGAGCUAAUUCUAACCUCUCACAAGUGCUUGAGCAUUUGCAUAAGUGAAAUUUCACUGUGUGAGUUUCACCCAACACCACCUCUGCUCCAGCUCCUGCUACUCUACUGCUCAUACCGUGGAACUCCACAGGUGGAGUAGAAGAUCAUCAGAGAGAGUUUUGUUUGCAGUAAAUUCGGUGUGCAACGGGCAAAGCAACGAGGAGUCAAGGUGAGGCAGAAGAACAGCAGAGGGAAGUGGAAGUUGGAUAAAGGGUGAACUGAGUAGGAGCGGAAGCAGGAUAAAGAGGUGGGUGAGCAAGAAGCAAGAUAAGCAGAAGUUGAGCAGCGAAAACAAAAGUGAGAUGGAGUAGUGAGUAAAAGUUUAUGGCUGGCAGGAUCCAGAGCAAACCAGUAAAAGGCAUGCAUAUGAGAGAGAAAAAGUAGCCUUAAAAUGACCCCGUAUGAUAAUCAGCUCAUUAAAGCUAAUGCAUAUGGACUGCAUAUCAUGGGUGUACUUAAAAUUAUGGGAUGGAGGUGAUGCGGAAGCACACAGGGGCCAAGUAACUAAGCAACCCACCUAUCAAUCAGAAGGCACAUGCUGGGUAGAGAUUAGGCAGCCCCAGGAAGAGGAGAAAAAAGAAAAAAAGAAAAAAAAAAAAAAAAACAUGUAAAAAGACCCAAAGCCCAAAGUUCACCAAACUGACGCUGAUCUCAUUUUGCAGAAGUCAGCCCGUUCUCCCCUCUCUGAGAGUGUUACUGUGCUUAAUAAGUCUCUUGCUGCUUUGCUACAUGUGUGUGUGUCACUUCCAAUUCUUUGUUAAAGACACCAAGAACCUGGGACUUCACAACACCAGCCGGUAACAAAGAUCUCUGUAAGACACAAAAGUUGGAUGACAGUCGUUUUGAUUCUUGGACUUUACUAGAGACUCCAAAGACGCAUCUGAGGAGAAAAGCUCUGGGUCCCUGGGAUGACUGUGCCACUCGACAUAGCCUCCUGGAGUGGCCAAAGAGAGUGUGGAUAAUUAAAGAAAUAUUGGAGUGAACUUUCACUCACUCCCACUUCUGUAGGUUUCUUAAAAUAUAUGGGUUUAGAAGCAAGAUACUUGGCGUUUUCAAAUGACUCGAAAGAGAUGUAGAUGAAGAGAAGUUCGGUCAUCCCACAGAUCUUCCGGAGUAACCUGGACACAUCCCUAAAUCUCUAGCUCCUGGGUCUUCGAAAGCCUGUUUGCCUCAGGGUUGGGAGGAAAGGGUUUGGAAAGUACCAAGGCAAGGGUUGGCAAAAAGAUUACCUCAUCAGUGAGGAAAUGAAAUUUCCAGAAGUUUUCGCCAGAUAUGGGACCAGAGACAAAUGCUGGAUGAAUUUCCUAUGCAAACCUUUUUUAGAACCACCGCUUCAAAGGCCGUCCAGAGACUUCAAAUUAGAUCUGGUGAAACUACUCCCGGUAAGGGAUUGGUAGUUCAGCGGUAGAGGUUUUUGUCUCCCACGCCGGCGACUCUGGUACGACUCCCGGCCAUGCAGGACUUCUUACCCUUCCGGCAGGAAGGGCUACUACGUUUCUACCCAACGAAGUUAUUAUAUUAUACAGGCUGUACUGCAUUUAUGGACCUUGGUCGUGGCAGCUAGAAGCUAACCUGAGGGGCGUGCCACCUCUGGAGCAUUCUCUGUGCUCGAACUAAUAAUCCCGGAAUUUACGUUCCUGUGCUCGAAGCCUGUCCUUGAAAGUGGGGAGUGUUUCCGGUGGGUUGCUGCAGUUUUAAAUACUGGGAAUUAAAACCUUUGCUACUUUCAUCUAGUCUCCCGGCAAACCCCUGGGUAACCCAAAGCCCAUCAGAGGGAUUUGCGUGUUGGGCUUUCCGCUACGUUAGGCCAAGUCUCACUAUGGAGCGAGGAUCAAGAAGGUCCGGGAAGGAGAGAAGCUGCGGGGUCCAGGGAGACUCUUCGGUGGUUGGUCGGAGAGGUUUCAGCGGCCCAAGGAAAAGGGAAGCCUGUGGGAAUCUAUCCGCGUAGAGAUGAGGGGCGCGGCGGAGACAGUCUCACGCAGAGGUAUGCCCAAACACCGAGUUACUUAACCUCCUCAACCACCUUGGCAUCCGCGCCUUCCGUGGGCCCGUCGGUCUUCCGGGAGAGAUUCUGUGUCCCUGGUAUUGUGUGUCAACAGGUGUUAGCCUGAUAGUUAUAUUUUUAAUGAGAGAAAACGAACUACAGAAUUUGCGAGUUUUGUUUUUUUUUUCUGGUUUUGCUUUAUACCUCUUGGAUUCUCCUUCCAAAGGAUUCCGAUCUGAGGGGCAUUGAGGUGUGACUAUGGUAGACAAGGGGUGGUUAAUUUUCAUCCAAAAAUCUUUGGCGGAUUCCCUUGCUCUCCCGCUCCCCAGUCUAAGAGCAGUUUAAAACAGAAGAUCAGAAACAUUUGGAGAGUGUUUCUCUGCGUUCUAAUGAUAAACUUGAUUUAUUCAAUUCCAAAAGUUUCCUUAUUCUGAGGUUGUCCUUCCAUAUUUUGAGUAUAAAACCAUGGCCAUACUAUAUGUUGGACCCACGAAGGUUCUUCUCUUCACUUGUUUAUUUGUAAAGUCUCUUUGUAAUCUCAGAAUUUCCUGAGUAAACUGGGAACUGUUAUACAUAAUUCUGUGUUUUUGAGCAUUCUUUGUAAACAGGAAUCAGGAUUGGGGGUGGGGAAGGAGGGAGGAGUAGGAGUGCUGAUUUGUGUAACGGAAAAUCAUAGAUUACGUAUGUGAUGGGACAAAGGUUUAAAAAACUCUUAGCGUCCCCAGAUUUCCCCUUUUACUGUUUGCUGAAGAAAAUUCUGUCCUUGACUCCCUUCCUUACCCUCUCCUGGCCUGUGAGAAGCUUCCGCCCUAUUCAAGUUAUUUCCUCCUCCCCUCCCCGCCACCCUCCCCCAGGCAGCCCCCUUCUGUUUUUCAGUGAAGCCGCUGCAGGAAAGUCGGGUUUGUGAGAAGACCCACACAGGCAAGGACAGCAGGAGAACAGUGACAUAGUUACACUCUUGUCACCAGCACUGUCAUUAAGAAGUUGUGAAAAGACAAAGACAACAGAGGAGAGCAGAGAAUAAAAUCUCCGUUUCAGCUAUUCCAGGAUGUUGUGCCAAUUGUCCCGUGUCCUUGAUAGGAAGUAGUAAGGAGCUAGGGACAUUUUUCCUGAAGGCUUCCAUUGCUGGCAAAAUCUCAUUAAAGGUGUCUACAUUGAUAGGUUGGCCACAGGAUGGAUACAAGAACAGGCUCUGGCUUACCUCUGCCAAGAUAUAUGUGUAAGAAUACUCUCUGCAACAUUAAUUUUUAUUGUAAAAUAGCAGAAUAAUUUUAUUAUUCAAUCAUUAUAUAAUGUUCAAAUGUAUGUGACUUUAUUUGGACAAUGAAAAAUGCAGUUGUUAAAAAUAGACAAUACAGAUGAUUCAGAUGAUGUUACUGAUGAAAAUAACAGAUGACAAUUACUGAGCAUUUAUGGCACUCUUACAUACAUUAACUUAUUUAAAGUUCAGAACAACCAAGGAAAUGAGCAACCUGUGGCGGGCGUGAGAGGUUCUGUGGCACAAAACGAAGAUAGGCAUUCAAAGAACACCAGGAUAGAAGAGCCGCAGUAGGCCGGGCGCGGAGGCUCACGCCUGUAAUCCCAGCACUUUGGGAGGCCGAGGCGGGCGGAUCAAGAGGCCAGGAGAUCGAGACCAUCCUGGCUAACAGGGUGAAACCCCGUCUCAACUAAAAAUACAAAAAAUUAGCUGGGCGUGGUGGCACGCGCCUGUAGUCCCAGCUAUUCGGGAGGCUGAGGCAGGAGAAUCGCUUCAACCCGGGAGGCGGAGGUUGCAGUAAGCCGAGAUCGCGCCACUGCACUCCAGCCUGGGCGACAGAGCGAGAUUCGGUCCCCAAAGAGAAGAAGAAGACCCGCAGUAGGAGGAAGAGGGAGGAAGUGGAGUCGGCCAGCUGGGAUGCUGGAAGCCAUUGGAUAGCUCAGGCUGAGAGAGGGCGCUGUGCGCCGCAAGCCUCCCUGCAACCGCAGACCUCGGGCCGCCUUCCUCCAGGAAGACGCUCCAGACUUCUGGUAUCCGUUGAGAUCUAGUUUCCCUUGAGACGCUGCAAAGCGCAUCGUCCUUGAGCAUUUCUCCUCUCCCCAAGACCCUCCGAAGGAAGGAUGAGCGGACGGAAGAUUCACACCGAAGCAGUCGAGCGCCCAGAUCCCCGGCUUCCCUGGGAGCAUUUCCCAAGUUUCUUUCAUGGGUAAGAGUGGGCCCAGCAGGAUAAUGCCUCCGUUCUAUGAGGAGCAGUGGGGGAGAUGCCCACGUGGCCACCUCUGUGGGCUACAAGACCCAGGCCUUCCAGGAGGAGCGAGGAGUCCUGGGCCCGGGUCCAGCGGUGCCAAGAGAAGCAGCAAGGCAAGGGGUCCCCUCCUACCUCAGGGUCUCUGUCCUACUGGGGUUAGGAGACGUUCAUCCAACUCCCUCUCCAAGUGUUGGAGAGGAGGCUAGGUCUUUCCCACGAGCUGGGGAGGAAGAGGUGGCAGAGGCGGAAGAGGAAGCCGGCUGAGAUGUGUGAAGCAGCUCUGGCUAUAACCGGUAGGGAGAGGGCGCGCGGGACCCAGGAGCCUCCGUGCGGAGCCAGGCCUCAGGAGCAGCCGCCUUGCUCCUGGAAGGGGUGCCUCCCUCCAUCUUCUGUCCAAAGACUGUAGGGAGACCUUCUCGCCUGGUGGGAAAGCGACGUCUCCCAUGCUUUCCCACCACGCAGGCCUUGUGUCCCUUUUCCUGCUAGUGUCUGACCGCCAGCCUGCGGGGGCUGCGGCUGCCGCGGUUCUACGCUGGGUGGAGGCUGCCCGCCCGCUAGCCAAGAGCCGCGCUAGGAGGCAAGAGUCGGGAAGUCGUGUGCAGGCCGGGAGGAGUCCCAAGCUCUGGGUCAGGGCUUUUUUUGCCAAUAGCCAAAUUCAACGUGUAAAAGACAGAGAGCUCACAUCUGUCUGUUCGUGAGCUUCAGUCGGAACAACAAGGAAGGCCCUCAAGAUCCCUAGGAGGGUGGCGGAAGGGUCUCUAGCGGCGAUAUCCGCGUCGGGGGCGGUGAGCCAAGGACUGUCAGGAGCCUGCGCGAACUCAGCCCCCGGGUAGCGCAAACACCACCGCAGACAAGGGCUCCGCGUGUAGGGAAAUCGCAGGGGUCAGAGCAGCUGGAGUGUGGUGGACUAGCCUCAACCAGGGAGAGCUCCCUUCUUGACCACGGUCUGUCCCUCGCCAGGUAAGAGGAGACGAGUGUCAGUACAGCCUCCUCUCCCCUAGCCAGAUGCUCAGGGUCACCACCUUCCCCUCUGCUCGCCCGUCGCCAUUCUUCCAACCACUCGCUGCCAAAGAUUCCACCAACAGUCACCCACAGGACAACCCAGGCCUCCUUUCAGCAGGGGCUCCCGCCCCGCAGCCACCGCGCCCUCUUACCCCCGCAGUUCUGCCCGCCGCCUCUGCCCAGUCUGUGCACUUCACCUCCCUCGCUCCCGCUCUCCCCUGAGCUUUACAGUGGACACAGGGUUCGUCCCCACCCUUCUUGGGAGUACUGAAUGGAAAAGGGGGAGGGUGCACAAUUGCUUGGUAGAGUGUAGACAGACAUUGCGGGAUUUGACUGUGGUACUAUCCCUUUGAUGUCCUAGUGAUUUUUACACCUGCCUUCUGCUUAGGGCACCGGCCACAGUUUUCCAUUAGUGCCUACUCCACCUGCUGUCGUUGUUGGGUAAGCGAACAUCGCCCUCCUGUACCACCCAGUCAAUAAAUGGGCGGUCCUGGAGGACUUCACCCGCCGCUCACCCCACUCCCAACCUCGCGGCCAUCGCCUCCUGUCGCCUCUUCCGAAGGCCUAAGAAGCAUGUUAGCUGCGAACUGAGGUGAGGAGGCUCAGCUGACCGCCUGUGUCAGCUGACGACGUGUGCCACGCACAAACGCCACGACUUGGCUUGGCCUCUCUCUCUCUUAGUUAUUUGCAGCUCAGCCCAAUCGGCGCCUCUGGGAUGGCGGAGGCGGCAAAGAUGGUGGGCUUCUUGGGUACACCUCCAGGAGAGCUGGCAUCUCUGCACGGUGGUGUACACCUGAGCGAGACGCUCAGUCGCUCUCUAAAGCCCCUUCUGCGAAUGGUGGACACGGAGAUAAAUAAGAGGGUGUGUCAUGAGAGGCCGUCCACCAGGACUUGCCCUCCUUCGCCAGGGUUUGCACCUUGCAGGGAGACUCUUCUGCCUCUGGCUCUUGGAGCAGGCCGGCUGACAGCGGAGUAAAGAAAGAUUACUGCGGGUGGGCAGUCAGUGCAAAACAACUCCCUGACCGGUAAUCGAACCCGGGAUGCGGUGGUGAAAGGACUGAAUCACAGCCACUACACCAGCACGGGGGCACGGGAGAGUCUUUCUCAACCUUACUGCCAUUUAAGUGACUGUUUCUGAGUGCGCUGGGAGGACUUGGGCCUUGUGCGGGUCGCUGGUCGCUCCUGGAGUCGUCUCACAAGGCCUUUCCCUCCCUCCUUUCUCCAAAAGAGGAGCCCGCAGGCGACACACCCAGCACUCUGCGAGGCCCACCAAGGCCCCGAUUCCCGAGUCCUGGAGCGAGUUGCAGCGCCCUGGCUGCAGCUGACCACUGACCUAGAGAUGUGCCUUUGCGAAGUGGCAGCGCAUGGAGAAACAGUAGCGGGUCGCUGGGGCCAGAGCCGCUCACCGGGUAGCCAGGAGCAGGCCGGAGCGAGGAGGCUCCCGGGGUGAGACCGGGGCACCCUGAACAUCAUAAAGGACUCAGACCUUGGCACUCCCGACGUCAUAAAGGACUCACACGGAUGCGGAAACCGAGACGGGCUGGAUGGAAAACUCUUUCCAGACAGGCUCCGGGGCCCUCAACUGGUCUCCGACCUUCCCCUGCAACCUGCGACACCUGCCAUUUUCCCAUCUUAGGCUCCAGAAGCAGAAUCAAGUGGGAUGUCUUGGAAGAAAAACAAACAAAAGGCCCACUAGGUGGAGUGAAAUGGAUCAGGAGCAAUUAUGUUCAAUUUCACCUUUAAGUUUUCUCAAAAGGAGGAGGAUUAAGAAUCAGCCACCUUAGUACAUACUUAAAGAUUUACUGAAACCUGAUCCUGUCCCUGCUGAUGAAACGUCAGAGGAAUGGGAUCCUGUAGGUGAAGAUCAUCAGCUUAUAAAAUCCUGUUGCCAUCAAUGGGGGUAGCAGGAAAAUGAUGAAGAUUGGUUAAGGGGCCAGUGGACUCAGCAUUGAAAUGAAUCAUGGACUUGAAGCCAAAAGACUCAGUUUGUGUCCCAGCUCUCUCAAGCAAAGCCCCCAAGUCCCAGUUUCCUCAUCUAUAAAAAAUAAUAAAAAUACUUCAUGGACAAA